rnacentral:rRNA from 1 species
CACGUAGGGCGCAAGCGUUGUCCGGAAUUAUUGGGCGUAAAGAGCUCGUAGGCGGUCUGUUGCGUCCGCUGUGAAAACUCGGGGCUUAACCCCGAGCCUGCAGUGGAUACGGGCAGACUAGAGGUAGGUAGGGGAGACUGGAAUUCCUGGUGUAGCGGUGAAAUGCGCAGAUAUCAGGAGGAACACCAAUGGCGAAAGCAGGUCUCUGGGCCACUACUGACGCUGAGAAGCGAAAGCAUGGGGAGCGAACAGG